GGAAGGCAGGAUGGUAUGGUGGAAAGAAGCUUUUAUGCACAGUCAGAGGGCCUCAGUGUGAAUUUGUGAAAGCAAGAAAAAACAAAGCCCCUGUGGAGUCAAGCCAAACAAAUUUCCGCAUUGACCAUGUAUAUUUUUAAAAAAUGAAAGACUCAUUCUUGAACUUUACUUUGAAAUCUUUGAACACUCACAAAGAGAUAUAGAAGUGUUUGAAACAUGUAUGUGAAGAAACCCAUGUCACUAGAUUGUUAACAUCAAAGGGUGAUAGGAUGGAGCUCCAGGCAGGCCAUAGUCAGAGGCAGAGUUCGUACAGAUCAUUGCUGUGAAGGGAAGAGCUGAGGGGCCUAUAUAAGAAUGGAGCAAAUGGAGUUGGAAAACCAGUAGGUAAUUUUUAAAGACUCAGAUAAAUUAUAAUUUGUUAAAUGAAAAAAUAUGAAGAAAUAGUAGCAUGGGCAAAGUUGCCUUGUAGCUAUGAAAUAUAUGUCCCUCAAAUUCUGGAUUUUCCAAACUUAUGUAGGAAGAAAUCUUUAGAGAAAUUCACAAACUUUCAUUACUAGGGAAUUUUGGAAAGUGUCUAUAUUAGCCUAUCCCUCAAUCAAUAUCUUCCUAUGGCAUCUCUGAUAAGUAGUUUCCAGGUUUCCCUUGAAAAUAUGAGAGUGUUUUCAGUGGGAAAGUGGAGGGAGUACUUAUAGCUUUUCAAGGUAACACGUUCUAUGUGGUGACAGUUUAAAUGGUAGUGAUGGCUGCUGACUAUGCAGGGUGGUCAUUGCUGAAGACUGGGGUGUCUGGACAUUUCUUAAAAUAAAACAACAUUGAAGUUUGCUACAUUGAUUGAGUCUUCCUUUUACUUGGACACUUAAUGGCCAUGGUAGAGUUAUUAAUUGGCCUGAUUUUAAUAUUGUUUUAUCACAGGUAAUGGGGAGGAUGGGGAAUAGUUAGAAGAUAUAACAUUUAUGAAAUCUGCCCUCUUAUGAGGGUGCAAUUGUUGUACCCCAAAACAUUUACAAUGCUGACAUCAAAGAUCACUGAUCACAGAUUACUAUAAUAGAUAUAAGAAGUUUGAAAUAUUGUGAGAAUUAGACAUAAUGGGAGCACAUGCUUUUGGGAAAAUGGUGCCAAAGAGUUUUGAUUGAAGCAACAGAUUUUCUUAGCUGUUAUAGCAAGUCCCCAACCAACUUUUCCACAUUGACUCUGAAGGGGCCAGAGGACUUUAGGUUUCUCUGUGGUAGUUGAUGUGUGAUGAAAAUGGGGGAAGACAAAUAGGGAGAUCAGCCAUAUCUUUAUACCAUCUACCUGGAUGAACAUUGAAGAGAAGGAAAAAUAAACUAAGGUUAGGGGGAAGGAAGAAAAGCAAGAUGAUAAAGAUGGAGAAGUUGGAUAUGUGAUUGAUGGUUCUGAUAGAGUUGAAACACACCCAUCUAUCAUUGGUGGCUAUAUCUUAAUUUUACAAAAAUGUGAUUUUUGAGGGAAAUGGUCUAAAGGAUCAUUAGUUCUAUAAGAAUAAUAGUUUUAAUAAGUGAUUCGCCAAAUGACAUGUGGGAUUUGGGUUAUAAUUUAGUAAUGUUGUAAUUGUGAAGCAGCAUCAAUGGAUAGUGUUUUUCUGAUCAUUCUUGUAGUAGUGUCCCUGAUUUCAAAGGAUGAGAGAGUUGCUCUUUUUGUCAGGAGCAGAUAUUUUAUUUUAUAUUUUUAGAGAUAUUUUGUAUUUUGUUGUUGGUAUUAACUUGGACUUAAAAUCACAAAGAUCUGGGUUCAUAUCCUAUUUCUGUGAUAAAAACUAUGUGAUCACAGGCAAACCUCUAAUCCUUAGUUUCCUUAUCUGUAAAAUGAGCACAAUAACCCAUAGUGCUUACAUUAUAGGAUGAUUGUGAGGCUAAAAUAAAUUAAUACAUAGAAGCCAUUUUGCACAUCCUUAAAAUACUAUUUAGAUAUCAUUUAUUAUAUUAAAUUUAAUUAUAGCUAGUUAAUUUAACAAAUUCUUUUAAAAGCCAGGCCAUUGAUAAAUCAGGGGAGGAGAGGCAUAUUUAGAACUUUAUGUUUAAAUUUUCCCAAAAUGAGGGAAUACAAUAUAUUUCUCAUACAGAAUCUUCAAACACUGAAAAAUAAGCACAUAAUAGUGCCUACCAUUCAUGGAAAUAUAUGUUAAAAAAUACUUUUGGUGACAGUAAUCCUGUAGAAACUUUGAGUAGGUGUAUAAUGGGACAGGUGGUAGGAAACAUGAUUGUAUUCUGAAAACAAAGGAAAUAUGAACAUUUCUGUGGUUGCUGCAGUAAAAUAAAAUGAGAAAUAAGUGGAGCUAAGACAGAAGCAAAUUUAUGAAGCAGAAUAUUUGUAUAUUUAAAUGAAAAAUAAUUUUAUUGUUAUAAUUAAAAAAACAAACAAAAUUGGAGACAGUUUUGUUUUAUUUGAUAAAAAAAGCUCAGCCAAAAUAGAUUCAGGAGCAAGCUUGAACCUAACACUCAUAGUUUAGAGAUUUCUGUCAAAAUUACAUCUAUCUUGUCAAACAAUACUCCUUCUGUUUCACUCAUUCCCAAAGAAGACAUCAGCCAUUGUCCCACAAGCUACAUAGAGAAAUUGUCUUAGAGGAAGUUGAAGUCUUUAAUCAAAAAUUGCUUGGAAUUCAACAUAGAAGAACGGAAUUAAACAUUAUAUAGUUAGAACUUGGAAUAUAUGGAUUUAAGAUGCUGAUCUGAAAUCCACAACUCAUUAUAAAAGGCAAAGUAACAUAAAAUCAAGAUUGUAGAGAGGAUAUUCUUACAUUGUGUUUUCAGUGAGAGAUCUAUUAAUGUUUUUCUUUUUCAUGGACACUUUUCUGAUUGAGAUUUCUUUUUUUUAAAUGUGAUCUAGUAUCAUUUUAAAUACUUUUUAAUGGAAAAGAAGCAGAUUUAUUGGAAGUACACAUGUUAGCAGUUUUUAUUUUUUGUAGUUUGAUUCCACAGAUAAUUUUUCACAAUAGCAUGCUAGAUGUUUACUUCUAAAUUGUAACCCUGUAAUGUGAAUUCAUAUCAAUUAAGUAAACCUUAUGUGUCCACUCUGUACAGAAACUUGGGCUAGAUGUGUCAAGAAUAAGAUAAGACUUGCUUCUUCAUUAAACUAACAAUCUAGUUUUAAUUUGACACUAUGGUUAAUUUUUCUUAUGCUUAGAGAGAAAUAAGUACAAAAUAUAUUCUUCACUUCUCUAGGACUUCUUUGUGAAACUCCAUGAUCAAAUCCAGUGAAUAUGGUAAAGCAGGGAUUGACUGUGAAGUGUGUUUCAUCUUGAUAAAGAGGAGAAAGAAGGUAGAAAGUCUUGUGUCUGGGAACAUAGUAGUACUUAAUGAAUCCUUUGAACUUGAAGGUACUAAGGUCCAAGGGAGAUAUGUUAGUUAACAGUAUUGUUGCUCAGUCGUUUUAGUUAUAUCCAAUUCUUUGUGAUCCUUGUGUGGUGUUUUCUUGUCAGAGAUA